AAAGCUUUGUGCAAACCCAAACAAUUUUAUUUUAAAGUCAAGUUGCAAAACAUAUCAAAUAACGUUCAAUCUUUGGGGGAAAAGACAUAAAAUGAUGCACAGAUUUAAAAUAUAAUAACUUGGAGUAAUAAAAGAAUCUGUCCAGGUUUUAACUAUUCAAACGGUGUAAAACAAAGUGGUGAAAGAGGCAGAUUCAGAUGUUUAACUGAUAUUUUCAUGUUUUUUCUAACUUCUAACUAUUUUUAAAUCUAAAUAGCAAAUUAUGAAUAAUGUUCUCACUGAAUGCAGACAUACAGUAAACAAAGACAAGCUACACGAGAUGUUGACAACAUGAAUCAUAAUAAACUGAUCAGUGAAAUGAAACGAUGCAUUCAAGGCAACAGAACAAUUGUAUUUUGCAACGCCAAAAUGUAAAUGUAAAGGAACAAAGAUCAAAGUAACAUGCUUACACAGUUUCCAGUGGUCAGAGGGAAUGGAAACACUGCUGCAGAGAUACAUAUCCUCCACCCACACACACACACACACACACACACACACACACACACACACACACACACACGGUGCAGACCAUGCAUCUCAGUGUGAAAUCAGUAGCUGAUGACACGUUCAGCCUCUGACAUGUUUAACUUGCUCUGAGUUCCUCGUGUUCACCUUCAGUACCUCCUUCCUGUGUGCUGCAGAAUGACUCGGCUAACUGGACCUUCGGUGCUGCUGUUGGUGACGUUGUGUGUGUCGUCUGCUCAGGACAAAGUCACCUUAGAGGUCCGUUACCCUCAGAGCACCACCUCUCCUGCCAGAGGCUCGUCAGUCCAACUCUCCUGCGAUGCGUAUUAUGACUUUGAGCGCUGCGGCCUGCUGGAUGUUGCGUGGUAUCAUCUCUCGAUGCUCGACGCUGCGCUGACCGACCCCAGGAAGUACUGCACCACAGUGAACGAGACCGUCUCUGAGGACAACGUGAGACGCAGGCAGGUCAGGACGGAGAUUUUCAACGUGACACAAGAGAACGACGGGGAAUUUCAAUGCAAGGCUGAAUGUGAGAGUGGAGAGACGUCCAUGGGACAUUACAUCUCCAUCUCUGUCGAAGGUAUUUAUAGAGGAGAUAACUAA
ensembl:lncRNA